AUUGAAACAGCAGUCCCUAAAAAUUACAAGUUGGUAGCUGCACCACUGUUCUAAUUGUAUGACCCUGCACCAGGAUAUGGGCCCAUCAUUUCUAGUCGUUGAGCAGGUUCAAUUUUAUAUACAACUGAAUACCUGUGGCAGCAGAGAAGGAAAAGAAGCCAUCUCUGUUUCCUUUAAAAAAUAUUAUGAAGCAAUGAAAUAGUUUUAUGCAAAUCAUGGAACCUCUGUUCAAGUUUGCUUCAGGAUACUGUAAGCUUUCUGAUUGUCUCCUGCAAGAUUUUGGGUGAGCUUACUUACAUAAGGCAUACAAACUAUUUAGAUUCUAGUUUGUGAA
rnacentral:lncRNA from 1 species